rnacentral:siRNA from 1 species
ACGUCCUAUCAAACCCGUCUCGCC